rnacentral:rRNA from 1 species
AACUAACGCUGGCGGCGUGCCUAACACAUGCAAGUCGUACGAGAAAGCCGGCUUCGGCUGGUGAGUAAAGUGGCGCACGGGUGAGUAACGCGUGGAUAAUCUGCCCUUAAGUGUGGAAUAACGUACCGAAAGGUGCGCUAAUAACCGCAUAAUGCCUGGCAACACAAGUUGUCCGGCCAAAGAAGGCCUCUGUUUACAAGCUUUCGCUUCAGGAUGAGUCCGCGUACCAUUAGCUUGUUGGUGGGGUAAUGGCCUACCAAGGCUGCGAUGGUUAGCUGGUCUGAGAGGAUGAUCAGCCACACUGGAACUGAGACACGGUCCAGACUCCUACGGGAGGCAGCAGUGAGGAAUAUUGCGCAAUGGGGGCAACCCUGACGCAGCAACGCCGCGUUGAGUGAGGAAGGUUUUCGGACUGUAAAGCUCUGUCGAGCGGGAAGAAGUGUACCAUGGCUAAUAUCCAUGAUAUUUGACGGUACCG